AUUGAACGCUGGCGGAAUGCUUUACACAUGCAAGUCGAACGGCAGCAUAGGUGCUUGCACCUGAUGGCGAGUGGCGAACGGGGGAGUAAUACAUCGGAACGUGCCCAGUCGUGGGGGAUAACGUACCGAAAGUUACGCUAAUACCGCAUACGAUCUAAGGAUGAACGCGGGGGACCGUAAGGCCUCGCGCGAUUGGAGCGGCGGAUGUCAGAUUAGGUAGUUGGUGAGGUAAAGGCUCACCAAGCCGACGAUCUGUAGCUGGUCUGAGAGGGCGACCAGCCACACUGGGACUGAGACACGGCCCAGACUCCUACGGGAGGCAGCAGUGGGGAAUUUUGGACAAUGGACGCAAGUCUGAUCCAGCCAUUCCGCGUGCAGGACGAAGGCCUUCGGGUUGUAAACUGCUUUUGUACGGAACGAAAAAGCUCUUACUAAUACUAGGAGUCCAUGACGGUACCGUAAGAAUAAGCACCGGCUAACUACGUGCCAGCAGCCGCGGUAA
rnacentral:rRNA from 1 species